rnacentral:rRNA from 1 species
UACGUAGGGUGCAAGCGUUAAUCGGAAUUACUGGGCGUAAAGCGCGCGUAGGCGGCUUUGUAAGUUAGAGGUGAAAGCCCGGAGCUCAACUCCGGAACUGCCUUUAAGACUGCAUCGCUAGAAUUGUGGAGAGGUAAGUGGAAUUCCGAGUGUAGAGGUGAAAUUCGUAGAUAUUCGGAAGAACACCAGUGGCGAAGGCGACUUACUGGACACAUAUUGACGCUGAGGUGCGAAAGCGUGGGGAGCAAACAGG